rnacentral:rRNA from 1 species
AGAGUUUGAUCCUGGCUCAGGAUGAACGCCGGCGGUGUGCCUAAUACAUGCAAGUCGUACGCACUGGCCCAACUGAUUGAUGGUGCUUGCACCUGAUUGACGUUGGAUCACCAGUGAGUGGCGGACGGGUGAGUAACACGUAGGUAACCUGCCCCGGAGCGGGGGAUAACAUUUGGAAACAGAUGCUAAUACCGCAUAACAACAAAAGCCACAUGGCUUUUGUCUGAAAGAUGGCUUUGGCUAUCACUCUGGGAUGGACCUGCGGUGCAUUAGCUAGUUGGUAAGGUAACGGCUUACCAAGGCGAUGAUGCAUAGCCGAGUUGAGAGACUGAUCGGCCACAAUGGAACUGAGACACGGUCCAUACUCCUACGGGAGGCAGCAGUAGGGAAUCUUCCACAAUGGGCGCAAGCCUGAUGGAGCAACACCGCGUGAGUGAAGAAGGGUUUCGGCUCGUAAAGCUCUGUUGUUGGAGAAGAACGUGCGUGAGAGUAACUGUUCACGCAGUGACGGUAUCCAACCAGAAAGUCACGGCUAACUACGUGCCAGCAGCCGCGGUAAUACGUAGGUGGCAAGCGUUAUCCGGAUUUAUUGGGCGUAAAGCGAGCGCAGGCGGUUGCUUAGGUCUGAUGUGAAAGCCUUCGGCUUAACCGAAGAAGUGCAUCGGAAACCGGGCGACUUGAGUGCAGAAGAGGACAGUGGAACUCCAUGUGUAGCGGUGGAAUGCGUAGAUAUAUGGAAGAACACCAGUGGCGAAGGCGGCUGUCUGGUCUGCAACUGACGCUGAGGCUCGAAAGCAUGGGUAGCGAACAGGAUUAGAUACCCUGGUAGUCCAUGCCGUAAACGAUGAGUGCUAGGUGUUGGAGGGUUUCCGCCCUUCAGUGCCGGAGCUAACGCAUUAAGCACUCCGCCUGGGGAGUACGACCGCAAGGUUGAAACUCAAAGGAAUUGACGGGGGCCCGCACAAGCGGUGGAGCAUGUGGUUUAAUUCGAAGCAACGCGAAGAACCUUACCAGGUCUUGACAUCCAGUGCAAACCUAAGAGAUUAGGUGUUCCCUUCGGGGACGCUGAGACAGGUGGUGCAUGGCUGUCGUCAGCUCGUGUCGUGAGAUGUUGGGUUAAGUCCCGCAACGAGCGCAACCCUUGUCAUUAGUUGCCAUCAUUAAGUUGGGCACUCUAAUGAGACUGCCGGUGACAAACCGGAGGAAGGUGGGGAUGACGUCAAGUCAUCAUGCCCCUUAUGACCUGGGCUACACACGUGCUACAAUGGACGGUACAACGAGAAGCGAACCUGCGAAGGCAAGCGGAUCUCUUAAAGCUGUUCUCAGUUCGGACUGUAGGCUGCAACUCGCCUACACGAAGCUGGAAUCGCUAGUAAUCGCGGAUCAGCACGCCGCGGUGAAUACGUUCCCGGGCCUUGUACACACCGCCCGUCA